GUUCUUGCUUUGUUAGUACAUAUACUAAUAUUGUAAUGAUACAGAUUAACAUGGCCCCUACAGAAGGAUGACACCCAAAUUUGUGAAGUGUUCCAUAGUUUG